AUACGUAGGGGGCGAGCGUUGUCCGGAAUGAUUGGGCGUAAAGGGCGCGUAGGCGGCCCGGUAAGUCUGGAGUGAAAGUCCUGGUUUUAAGCUGGGAAUUGCUUUGGAUACUGUCGGGCUUGAGUGCGGGAGAGGGAAGUGGAAUUCCUAGUGUAGGGGUGAAAUCCGUAGAUAUUGGGAGGAACACCGGUGGCGAAGGCGGCUGCCUGGACCGAUACUGACGCUGAGACGCGAAAGCGUGGGUAGCAAACAGGAUUAGAUACCCUGGUAGUCCACGCCGUAAACGAUGAGUACUAGGUGUCGCGGGUAUUGACCCCUGCGGUGCCGCAGCUAACGCAUUAAGUACUCCGCCUGGGAACUACGGCCGCAAGGCUAAAACUCAAAGGAAUUGACGG
rnacentral:rRNA from 1 species